rnacentral:rRNA from 1 species
UAAAUACUCCCGAGAGACCGAUAGCGAACCAGUACCGUGAGGGAAAGGUGAAAAGAACCCCGAGCAGGGGAGUGAAAUAGACCCUGAACCCGUCUGCCUACAAGCGGUCGGAGCAUAGCAAUAUGUGACGGCGUGCCUUUUGCAUAAUGAACCUACGAGUUACCUUCCCCGGCAAGGUUAAGUACCUAAGGUACGGAGCCGAAGCGAAAGCGAGUCUGAAGAGGGCGGCCAGUCGGGGGGGGUAGACGCGAAACCGAGUGAUCUACCCUUGGCCAGGUUGAAGGUUGGGUAACACCAACUGGAGGACCGGAUGGGUAAGCGUUGAAAAGCUUUCCAAUGAGCUGAGGGUAGGGGUGAAAGGCUAAUCAAACUCGGAGAUAGCUCGUACUCCCCGAAAUGCAUUUAGGUGCAGCCUCUUUAUAGUAUAUCGUGAGGUAGAGCGACUGAUUGGAUGCGAGGGCUUCACCGCCUAUCAAGUCCAGAUAAACUCCGAAUGCGCGAUAUAUAUUUACAGGGAGUGAGGGCGCGGGUGCUAAGGUCCGUGUCCGAGAGGAGAAGAAUCCAGACCACCGGCUAAGGCCCCCAAAUGAUCGUUGAGUUGAACUAACGAGGUCGGAUCGCAGAGACAGCUAGGAUGUUGGCUUGGAAGCAGCCAUUCAUUUAAAGAGUGCGUAACAGCUCACUAGUCGAGCGAUCUGGCGUGGAUAAUAAUCGGGCAUAAACGAUCUGCCGAAGCCGUGGAUGUCGUAAGACAUGGUAGGGGAGCAUUCCAUGCGGCGUCGAAGAUGAGGGAUGACCCUUGUUGGAGCGCAUGGAAAAGCAAAUGUAGGUAUGAGUAACGAUAAGGGGGGCGAGAAACCCCCCCGCCGAAAGACCAAGGUUUCCUGAUCAACGCUAAUCGGAUCAGGGUGAGUCGGGACCUAAGGCAAAGCCGAACGGCGCCGCCGAUGGAAGAAUGGGUUAAUAUUCCCAUACUGCCUCAUGGAGUGACGUGGAGACGGAGAAGUGACAGUCCUGCCGGCUGACGGAAUAGCCGGUUGAAGGGUGUAGAUAUUGAUUCCCGUAGGCAAAUCCGCGGGGAGAGUCGAACCUGACAGUAUACCGAGUACUUGUACGAGGUAAUAUGGACGUAACCAUGCUCCCAAGAAAAUCCGCUAAACUUAUCCAUGCGGCACCCGUACCGUAAACGGACACACGUGGUCGGGUUGAGAAUACUGAGGCGCUCGAGUGACUCACGGUUAAGGAACUAGGCAAAUUGACCCUGUAACUUCGGGAUAAAGGGUCCUCGUCGUAAGGCGAGGCGCAGAGAAUAGGUCCAGGCAACUGUUUAACAAAAACACAUGGCUAUGCUAAAUGGAAACAUGACGUAUAUAGCCUGACACCUGCCCGGUGCUGGAAGGUUAAGAGGAGAUGUCAUCGCAAGAGAAGCGUUGAAUUGAAGCCCCAGUAAACGGCGGCCGUAACUAUAACGGUCCUAAGGUAGCGAAAUUCCUUGUCGGGUAAGUUCCGACCUGCACGAAUGGUGUAAUGAUCUGGACACUGUCUCAACCGUGAGCUCGGUGAAAUUGUAGUAUCGGUGAAGAUGCCGAUUACCCGCGAUGGGACGAAAAGACCCCGUGAACCUUUACUAUAGCUUUACAUUGAAUUUGGGCAGACGAUGUGUAGGAUAGGCCGGAGGCUUUGAAGGGGGUACGCCAGUAUCCUUGGAGCCGCCGUUGAAAUACGGCCCUUCGGUUGUUUGAGUUCUAACUCCUAGGCAGGAGGACACUGUAUGGUGGGUAGUUUGACUGGGGUGGUCGCCUCCAAAAGCGUAACGGAGGCUUCUAAAGGUGCCCUCAGACCGAUUGGUAACCGGUCGUAGAGUGUAAUGGCAUAAGGGCGCUUGACUGGGAGACAGACAAGUCGAUCAGGUAGGAAACUAGAGCAUAGUGAUCCGGUGGUUCCGCAUGGAAGGGCCAUCGCUCAAAGGAUAAAAGGUACUCCGGGGAUAACAGGCUGAUCCCUCCCAAGAGCUCAUAUCGACGGAGUGGUUUGGCACCUCGAUGUCGGCUCGUCACAUCCUGGGGCUGGAGAAGGUCCCAAGGGUUGGGCUGUUCGCCCAUUAAAGUGGCACGCGAGCUGGGUUCAGAACGUCGUGAGACAGUUCGGUCUCUAUCUAUCGUGGGCGCAGGAGAUUUGAGGGGCUCUGACACUAGUACGAGAGGACCGUGUUGGACGUACCACUGGUUUACCGGUUGUCCCGCCAGGGGCACCGCCGGGUAUCUAAGUACGGAUCGGAUAAGUGCUGAAAGCAUCUAAGUACGAAGCCGGCCUCAAGAUUAGAUCUCCCUGAAGGGUGGUUAUAGACGAUGACCUUGAUAGGCCACAGGUGUAAGGGCGGCGACGUCCGAGCCGAGUGGUACUAAUAGCCCGGGACUUUCCUCA